GCGUGAGUUUAACCCCUCCCUGACUGGCUACUCAGUGGGCAAAGGCAAAGAGGACACCACUCAGGCCUUCCUCAACCAGGCUGUGGCCGGAGAAAGAGCCAAGGACAUACCAGACCAAGUGCGGGCACUGGUGGCCAGGAUGAAGAAUGACUCGAGCGUUAAUUUCCAAGAAGACUGGAAAGUUAUCACUUUGUUCAUUGGAGGCAAUGACAUGUGUGAAUACUGCUACAACUCU